rnacentral:lncRNA from 1 species
ACUUCCCUUAAUUUCCUUUUGCUAAAUUGAUUAAAAAAACUCAAGAACUAUGCUCAUGCUAUGUUUGUUUCUCUGCAGAACAACAAUGGUUCUCAGAAGAUUUCUGGAGAUGCUCUCAAGGACCUGUACAAGUCCUUCGUUGCUGAGUACCCAAUUGUGUCCAUUGAGGACCCAUUUGACCAAGAUGACUGGGAGCACUAUGCUAAGAUGACCGCCGAGUGUGGAGACAAUGUUCAGAUUGUCGGUGAUGAUUUGUUGGUCACCAACCCCAAGGUUUGUAACUUAACCAGAUGUUCUUACCACUUUCUCUAUCUCUAUCUAUAUUGCUUAUCUUUGUUUAUACUCGUUCUUCUUGCAGAGAGUUGCCAAGGCAAUCGCAGAAAAGUCUUGCAAUGCUCUUCUCUUGAAGGUUAAUCAAAUCGGGUCAGUAACAGAGAGUAUUGAGGCAGUGAAGAUGUCAAAGAGAGCAGGAUGGGGAGUGAUGGCUAGCCACCGAAGUGGUGAAACCGAGGACACCUUCAUCGCUGACUUAUCCGUUGGCUUGUCUACUGUAAGUUUUAAACCAUUCAAAUGCCAAGUAACACACUACCUUGUUGUCUGAUUCUCAUUUUGAUUUCUCUCUCUCUCUUGACAGGGACAAAUCAAGACUGGAGCUCCUUGCAGAUCCGAGCGUCUUGCCAAGUACAACCAGGUUAGACAUGAUCUGUGUGUUUUUAACAACAAUCAAGAGCACAGUAGCUUUUCAUUGACUAAUCUGUUUGGUUAUAUAGAGUUAAUAAAUUGUUUAUCCGGAAAAAGAUCAUAUACUUGAACAAAAGAUUUUGUUAACCUAUACUAAUUUUUGUUAUGUAUCAAAGUAGACCAAGAAACAGGCCCCACUCUAUACAAAAUGUAGAACAGUUUUGUAACGCAACGCCCAUCAAACUUUGGAGCCCAUUAUUCCCCUUUUUUCAUUUUAUGUAAUAUAGAAAUGUUGACAUAUUCCACUUUCUCAAAUGUAUGAAACAUGCAAAUUCCCUAUAUUUAUUACUUGUUCAAGACUCUUGUCGUACUAUUAUUACUUGGACAAUGAGCAACGGCAGAUUAAUAAAAAAAAACCUCUUCUCGCCUGCAAAAGCCGUGCAACACAUCGUUUUGUCUUCUUUCCAUUAUGCGGACCUACCUUAUAUCAUCCAACGGUUCUUAUCAAAACAAUCCAACGUCUCUCCUUCACCCUCUUCCUCUUUAUAUAUUAUCAAACCGAACCACCCACUUCAUCAUCAUCGUCCACUUAAAACCCUCGAACUCAUCGCCUAUCAUCUCCAGAUCUCUACUCAACCAUGGCCACUAUCACCGCUGUUAAAGCUAGGCAGAUCUUCGACAGCCGUGGCAAUCCCACCGUCGAGGUUCGUUUCUUCUCUCACUCGCGAUGCUUAUUUUGAGCUUAGGGGGAAUGAGAUUGUGAUUUUGGAGACGAUGAUUAGUCAUCCAUCAUGUUUAUAUGAUUCUUGAGACGGAUCUGUGUUCAUUUGGUUAAAUUCGGUUAUCAUAUGGUUGAAUUCGGUUAUCGUUUGGUUAAAGUCGGUUAUCUUAUGGUUUAUACGGGAUUCUUAUGGUUAAAUGAGGCUAUCUUAUGGUUAAAUGAGGCUAUCUUAUGGUUAAUUCGGUUGUCUUAUGGUUUAAUUCGGUUAUGUUAUGAUUAAAUUCGGUUUUAUUUUGCUGGUUUAACUCAAUUGAUUUUGUAUAGUUUGUUAUAUAUGGUUUUAUAUAAUGUACAAUGGACACUUAUUCAAGUUAGGAUAUAUUUUAAUACAUAGAGAAGAAGCUGAUGGUUACAGGUAUUGGUCUGAUAAUGGUUUAGGUCGAUGUACACACAUCAAGUGGUGUUAAGGUUACAGCAGCGGUUCCGAGUGGAGCUUCCACCGGUAUCUACGAGGCUCUUGAGCUUAGGGAUGGUGGAUCAGACUACCUUGGAAAGGGUGUCUCUAAGGUGAGACUUUGAGACUGUUGUCUUUUUUUUUUUGUUGAAGAAGUGUUUUCUUUUUGUCUGAUUUUUUCUUUGUUGAUGUCUAUAGGCUGUUGGCAAUGUGAACUCCAUCAUCGGCCCAGCUUUGAUUGGAAAAGUGAGUCUUUUCUCCUUAAUUUAUUUCUAGUGCUUUGGAUUGUAUCUAAAAGGUGUUAUUUUCUGAUAUUCAUUUUUUUUUUAAUUGUUUCUUGUAGGACCCAACUCAGCAGACUGCUAUUGACAACUUCAUGGUCCAUGAACUUGAUGGAACCCAGAACGAAUGGGGAUGGUGCAAGCAAAAGGUGAUUCAAAGGGAAACUCAUGUUUUGUGUUUCAUUUUAAGAUUGAAGGAGGAAUCUGACCAUCUUGUUUCUUCUUUUUUUUGUGUGUGCACAGCUUGGAGCCAAUGCUAUUCUUGCUGUAUCUCUAGCUGUCUGCAAAGCUGGGGCUGUUGUCAGUGGCAUUCCUCUCUACAAGGUAGGAUGACUCUUGUGUGUCUAACUUGGUUUUUUCUGGUACUAGAUGUUCUAAGCUUUUCCAUUGUUGUAUUUGGAUGCAGCACAUUGCCAAUCUUGCUGGUAACCCUAAGAUUGUGCUACCAGUUCCUGCGUUCAACGUUAUCAAUGGUGGAUCCCAUGCCGGAAACAAGCUCGCCAUGCAGGAGUUUAUGAUCCUCCCUGUUGGAGCUUCUUCUUUCAAAGAAGCCAUGAAAAUGGGUGUUGAAGUUUACCACAACUUGAAGGUAACCUCUAGUACCCUCAUUAAAGAUGCAAAUUUUAUGUGGGCUAACAUGUUUUCGUAUGUUUUUUCAGUCUGUGAUUAAGAAGAAGUAUGGACAGGAUGCCACCAACGUCGGUGAUGAAGGGGGCUUUGCACCAAACAUUCAAGAAAACAAGGAAGGUCUUGAACUGCUUAAGACUGCUAUCGAGAAGGCUGGAUACACUGGCAAGGUUGUCAUUGGGAUGGAUGUUGCCGCUUCUGAGUUCUACUCAUCUGACAAGACUUACGACUUGAACUUCAAAGAAGAGGUGGAACUUCCCUUAAUUUCCUUUUGCUAAAUUGAUUAAAAAAACUCAAGAACUAUGCUCAUGCUAUGUUUGUUUCUCUGCAGAACAACAAUGGUUCUCAGAAGAUUUCUGGAGAUGCUCUCAAGGACCUGUACAAGUCCUUCGUUGCUGAGUACCCAAUUGUGUCCAUUGAGGACCCAUUUGACCAAGAUGACUGGGAGCACUAUGCUAAGAUGACCGCCGAGUGUGGAGACAAUGUUCAGAUUGUCGGUGAUGAUUUGUUGGUCACCAACCCCAAG